rnacentral:lncRNA from 1 species
AUGAACAUGAUCUUCUUCCUUCCUCUUCUUCCUCUUUCUCUUUUCUUCUUUCUUUCUUUCUUUCUCCUUCUCUUUUUCUCUUUCUUUCUCUUUCUCUUCUUUUCCCUUUUCUGAUAACUCUCUUCUUCUAUUUUUAUCCUUUCUUCUUUUCUUUCUUUCUAACCACACAAAAUACAUAUAUAUAUUUAUAAUAUCAAGUAGUAAUACAAAAUAUCCCCAUUGAUAUUUUGUAUUCCAGUACCAAUUGACCAAUUAUUAAUGUUACCAAAAAUAUCCUCUCUUGUACUUAUUAAUAUUGGUCUAUCUCUUUAUUAAUAAUUAAUCCCUUCAGAGUUCACUUGUUACUCUAUUGGUCCUAAUU